UACGGAGGGUGCUAGCGUUAUUCGGAAUUACUGGGCGUAAAGCGCGCGUAGGCGGCUUUGUAAGUUUGAGGUGAAAGCCUGGAGCUCAACUCCAGAAUUGCCUUUAAGACUGCAUCGCUUGAAUCCAGGAGAGGGGAGUGGAAUUCCGAGUGUAGAGGUGAAAUUCGUAGAUAUUCGGAAGAACACCAGUGGCGAAGGCGGCUCACUGGACUGGUAUUGACGCUGAGGUGCGAAAGCGUGGGGAGCAAACAGG
rnacentral:rRNA from 1 species